rnacentral:rRNA from 1 species
UAGGGAAUAUUGGACAAUGGGCGAAAGCCUGAUCCAGCCAUGCCGCGUGUGUGAAGAAGGUCUUCGGAUUGUAAAGCACUUUAAGUUGGGAGGAAGGGCAGUUACCUAAUACGUAUCUGUUUUGACGUUACCGACAGAAUAAGCACCGGCUAACUCUGUGCCAGCAGCCGCGGUAAUACAGAGGGUGCAAGCGUUAAUCGGAAUUACUGGGCGUAAAGCGCGCGUAGGUGGUUUGUUAAGUUGGAUGUGAAAUCCCCGGGCUCAACCUGGGAACUGCAUUCAAAACUGACAAGCUAGAGUAUGGUAGAGGGUGGUGGAAUUUCCUGUGUAGCGGUGAAAUGCGUAGAUAUAGGAAGGAACACCAGUGGCGAAGGCGACCACCUGGACUGAUACUGACACUGAGGUGCGAAAGCGUGGGGAGCAAACAGGAUUAGAUACCCAAGUAGUCCCUGAGCGGGCUGGCAAGGCGCAU